UGAGGGUGGAGACAGCACUGUUUGUUAAACUGGUUAAGGUGGCUCAGUUUAAAUUUCAUGUGAUUCUGAAUGGAGGAGUAGAAAGUAUGAUGUGAAGUUACAUCCAGCUGAAAGUAAAGUAUUCCGGUUUGGUGGAGCUAGUGGUAGCCGAGCCCCCAGCUCGUUUUUUUUAAUAUUGCUUGUCUUUUCCUAAUUAAGGAGAGCCUGCUGAGAGAGUUUCCGACAAUCACAAUGGGGAACGAGAACAGCACCUCUGACAACCAGUCAGAGGAUGCUGGCUCAAAUAACAUCAUCCUGCUGCCACCAAACCCGGGUGUACCACAGGUACUGGAAAAUACAAUUGAUAUGCAUGGCUUGCAUUUCAACCAUUUGAAAGCAU
rnacentral:lncRNA from 1 species